CGGUCAUAUCCACAUAGAAACACCUGUUCCUGUACGAUCACCGAAGUUAAGUAACGUCGAACUUGGUCAGUACUUAAAAAGUGUGACCGCUUGGGAAUG